UACGUAGGGUGCAAGCGUUAAUCGGAAUUACUGGGCGUAAAGCGUGCGCAGGCGGUUUGGUAAGACAGAUGUGAACUCCCCGGGCUCAACCUGGGAAUUGCAUUUGUGACUGCCCGACUAGAGUGUGUCAGAGGGGGGUAGAAUUCCACGUGUAGCAGUGAAAUGCGUAGAGAUGUGGAGGAAUACCGAUGGCGAAGGCAGCCCCCUGGGAUAACACUGACGCUCAUGCACGAAAGCGUGGGGAGCAAACAGG
rnacentral:rRNA from 1 species